AACGCAUAUUGCGCCCGCCAGAAUUCUGGCGGGCAUGCCUGUUCGAGCGUCAUUUCACCCCUCAAGCCUCUUGUAGGCUUGCUGUUGAGGCACCUGUGGCAUAGCGCCCGUGGGCCUUGAAAAUCAGUGGCGGACCUGCUGGGUCUUCGAGCGCAGUACUUGUAACCUCGCUCGCACAAGGCUUUAAGGGAUUUUCCAGCCGUUAAACAUCCAUUAUAUCUUGAAAUUUGACCUCGGAUCAGGUAGGAAUACCCGCUGAACUUAA
rnacentral:misc_RNA from 1 species